CAAUAGCGUAUAUUAAAGUUGUUGCAGUUAGAACGCUCGUAGUCGGAUUUCGGGGCGGGUCGACCGGUCUGCCGAUGGGUACGCACUGGCCGACGCGUCCUUUUUGCCGGAGACCGUCCCUACUCUUAACUGAGCGGGGUCGGGAGACGGCACUUUUACUUUGAAAAAAUCAGAGUGUUUCAAGCAGGCAGCUCGCUCUUGCAUGGAUUAGCAUGGGAUGAUGAAAUAGGACUUUGGUGCUAUUUUGUUGGUUUCGAACACCGAAGUAAUGAUGAGAAGGGACAGUCAGGGGCACUCGUAUUCCGCCGAGAGAGGUGAAAUUCUCAGACCAGCGGAAGACGAACCACUGCGAAAGCAUUUGCCAGGGAUGUUUUCACUGA
rnacentral:rRNA from 1 species